rfam:Gossypium raimondii chromosome 13, whole genome shotgun sequence.
AUCUCAUGGUGAAGGUACCUAUGAAGCAAUUCCAUGAAUCUUUCCCAUGCCUCAUAUAAGGAUUCAUCAUCCAUUUGUUGAAAAGUGGUGGUCUCAUUUCGUAGUU